rnacentral:rRNA from 1 species
UACAGAGGUCCCGAGCGUUGUUCGGAUUCAUUGGGCGUAAAGGGUGCGUAGGUGGCGCCGGUAAGUGGGGUGUGAAAUCCCGGGGCUUAACCCCGGGACUGCAUUCCAUACUGCGGUGCUUGAGGACUGGAGAGGAGACUGGAAUUUACGGUGUAGCAGUGAAAUGCGUAGAGAUCAAGAGGAACACUCGUGGCGAAAGCGAGCUACUGGACAAUUCCUGACGCUGAGGCUCGAAGGCUAGGGUAGCGAAAGGG